CAGCAGCCGCGGUAAGACGAACCGUGCGAACGUUAUUCGGAAUCACUGGGCUUAAAGCGCGUGUAGGCGGGUCGGCACGUCGGACGCUGAAAUCCCCCGGCUCAACCGGGGAAGUGGCGCCGAUACGGCCGGCCUGGAGGGGGGUAGGGGGGCCUGGAACUUCCGGUGGAGCGGUGAAAUGCGUUGAGAUCGGAAGGAACGCCCGUGGCGAAAGCGAGGCCCUGGACCCUUUCUGACGCUGAGACGCGAAAGCCAGGGGAGCGAACGGGAUUAGAUACCCCGGUAGUCCCUGUCUCUUAUU
rnacentral:rRNA from 1 species